rnacentral:rRNA from 1 species
GACGAACGCUGGCGGCGUGCUUAACACAUGCAAGUCGAACGGAAAGGCCCUGCUUUUGCGGGGUGCUCGAGUGGCGAACGGGUGAGUAACACGUGAGUAACCUGCCCUUGACUUUGGGAUAACUUCAGGAAACUGGGGCUAAUACCGGAUAGGAGCUCCUGCUGCAUGGUGGGGGUUGGAAAGUUUCGGCGGUUGGGGAUGGACUCGCGGCUUAUCAGCUUGUUGGUGGGGUAGUGGCUUACCAAGGCUUUGACGGGUAGCCGGCCUGAGAGGGUGACCGGCCACAUUGGGACUGAGAUACGGCCCAGACGCCUACGGGAGGCAGCAGUGGGGAAUAUUGCACAAUGGGCGGAAGCCUGAUGCAGCAACGCCGCGUGCGGGAUGACGGCCUUCGGGUUGUAAACCGCUUUCGCCUGUGACGAAGCGUGAGUGACGGUAAUGGGUAAAGAAGCACCGGCUAACUACGU